UAAGCUUGCUUACUUCUUAGUGGCGAACGGGUGAGUAAUACAUAAGCAAUCUGCCCAUAUGCCUGGGAUAACCGUUGGAAACGAUGGCUAAUACCGGAUAGGUGAAUUGAAGGCAUCUUUGAUUCAUUAAAGUUGGGAAACAACACAUAUGGAUGAGCUUAUGGCGCAUUAGCUAGUUGGUGAGGUAACGGCUCACCAAGGCGAUGAUGCGUAGCCGACCUGAGAGGGUGACCGGCCACACUGGGACUGAGACACGGCCCAGACUCCUACGGGAGGCAGCAGUAGGGAAUUUUCGGCAAUGGGGGAAACCCUGACCGAGCAACGCCGCGUGAGUGAAGAAGGCCUUCGGGUUGUAAAGCUCUGUUGUAAGGGAAGAAGAGAUCAUAGAGGGAAUGCUAUGAUUGUGACGGUACCUUACCAGAAAGCCACGGCUAACUACGUGCCAGCAGCCGCGGUAAUACGUAGGUGGCGAGCGUUAUCCGGAAUUAUUGGGCGUAAAGGGUGCGUGGGCGGCACAUUAAGUCUAAGGUUAAAGUUCGAGGCUCAACUUCGGAUUGCCUUAGAAACUGGUGAGCUAGAGUGCAGGAGAGGGCAAUGGAAUUCCAUGUGUAGCGGUAAAAUGCGUAGAUAUAUGGAGGAACACCAGUGGCGAAGGCGGUUGCCUGGCCUGUAACUGACGCUGAGGCACGAAAGCGUGGGGAGCAAAUAGGAUUAGAUAC
rnacentral:rRNA from 1 species